UGGGGAAUAUUGGACAAUGGGCGCAAGCCUGAUCCAGCCAUGCCGCGUGUGGGAAGAAGGCCUUCGGGUUGUAAACCACUUUUGUCAGGGAAGAAACGGUCCGAUCUAAUAAAUUGGACUAAUGACGGUACCUGAAGAAUAAGCACCGGCUAACUACGUGCCAGCAGCCGCGGUAAUACGUAGGGUGCAAGCGUUAAUCGGAAUUACUGGGCGUAAAGCGUGCGCAGGCGGCUUUGCAAGACAGAUGUGAAAUCCCCGGGCUCAACCUGGGAACCGCAUUCGAGACUGUGUUGCUGGAGUACGGAAGAGGAGGGCGGAAUUCCCGGUGUAGCGGUGAAAUGCGUAGAUAUCGGGAGGAACAUCAGUGGCGAAGGCGGCCCUCUGGUCCAGUACUGACACUCAAGUGCGAAAGCGUGGGGAGCAAACAGGAUUAGAUACCCUUGUAGUCCCUGAGCGGGCUGGCAAGGCGCAU
rnacentral:rRNA from 1 species